AUUGAACGCUGGCGGCAGGCCUAACACAUGCAAGUCGAGCGGCAGCACGGGUACUUGUACCUGGUGGCGAGCGGCGGACGGGUGAGUAAUGCCUAGGAAUCUGCCUGGUAGUGGGGGAUAACGUCCGGAAACGGGCGCUAAUACCGCAUACGUCCUACGGGAGAAAGUGGGGGAUCUUCGGACCUCACGCUAUUAGAUGAGCCUAGGUCGGAUUAGCUAGUUGGUGAGGUAAUGGCUCACCAAGGCGACGAUCCGUAACUGGUCUGAGAGGAUGAUCAGUCACACUGGAACUGAGACACGGUCCAGACUCCUACGGGAGGCAGCAGUGGGGAAUAUUGGACAAUGGGCGAAAGCCUGAUCCAGCCAUGCCGCGUGUGUGAAGAAGGUCUUCGGAUUGUAAAGCACUUUAAGUUGGGAGGAAGGGCAGUUACCUAAUACGUGAUUGUUCUGACGUUACCGACAGAAUAAGCACCGGCUAACUCUGUGCCAGCCGCAGCAGUAA
rnacentral:rRNA from 1 species